rnacentral:rRNA from 1 species
GAUGAACGCUGGCGGCGUGCCUAAUACAUGCAAGUCGAGCGAACAGAUGAGGAGCUUGCUCCUCUGACGUUAGCGGCGGACGGGUGAGUAACACGUGGAUAACCUACCUAUAAGACUGGGAUAACUUCGGGACACCGGAGCUAAUACCGGAUAAUAUAUUGAACCGCAUGGUUCAAUAGUGAAAGACGGUUUUGCUGUCACUUAUAGAUGGAUCCGCGCCGCAUUAGCUAGUUGGUAAGGUAACGGCUUACCAAGGCAACGAUGCGUAGCCGACCUGAGAGGGUGAUAGGCCACACUGGAACUUAGACACGGUCCAGACGCCUAAGGGAGGCAGCAGUAGGGAAUCUGCCGCAAUAGGCGAAAGCCUGACGGAGCAACGCCGCGUGAGUGAUGAAGGUCUUCGGUUCGUAAAACUCUGUUAUUAGGGAAGAACAAAUGUGUAAGGAAAUAUGCACGUCUUGACGGUACCUAAUCAGAAAGCCACGGCUAACUACGUG